rnacentral:rRNA from 1 species
GACGAACGCUGGCGGCGUGCUUAACACAUGCAAGUCGAACGCUGAAGCUCAGCUUUUGUUGGGUGGAUGAGUGGCGAACGGGUGAGUAACACGUGAGUAACCUGCCCCCUUCUUUGGGAUAACGCCCGGAAACGGGUGCUAAUACUGGAUAUUCACUGGUCUUCGCAUGGGGGUUGGUGGAAAGGGUUUUUCUGGUGGGGGAUGGGCUCGCGGCCUAUCAGCCUGUUGGUGGGGUGAUGGCCUACCAAGGCUUUGACGGGUAGCCGGCCUGAGAGGGUGACCGGUCACAUUGGGACUGAGAUACGGCCCAGACUCCUACGGGAGGCAGCAGUGGGGAAUAUUGCACAAUGGGCGCAAGCCUGAUGCAGCGACGCCGCGUGAGGGAUGGAGGCCUCCGGGUUGUGAACCUCUUUCGCUCAUGGUCAAGCCGCAACAAUGGUUGUGGUGAGGGUAGUGGGUAAAGAAGCGCCGGCUAACUACGUG